UUAUUUUUAUUUGGUAAAAAAAAAGUCUCCUCUUUCUAACAUAUAAAAAUCAAAACAAAAAUGAUUAUCAAUGAAGUUGAAACUGAACUCCAUUUUAACGCGCACACACGCUAGUCUACUCGUUAGGGACUCUGGUUUUUCAAUCAGUUUACUUCGCAAAUUCUAAAACAGAAACGCUUUCACACAUGCAUCUUCCUGGAUUAAUCAUCACAAGAUUCGUCAAUAGUGUUCUUCGAGAUGCAGCGACUUUGAGUUCGAGCAAUUUCUGAUAUAAUAAUCCUGAACUUUGCUCGAAUUUCAUGUGUAUAUAACAACAAAAUCCAACACAACUCGUUAGAAAUCGGAGAUCUGAUCGAGAUUCGUUUUCUUGGUGUGAAGAAAGUCUCAAAGACGCAAGCAACCUGUUCGAUGAAAUGCCUCAAUGACAAAGGAUUUACUGAACACUUUUCGUCAUUGGAGGUAGGGAUGUGCGCGAUGCAGUUUAGAGUCAAAACUACAAACCGCAUCGCAUAUGCAGUUUGAAUAUUUUAGAAACUGCCAACCGCACCAUAGAUGUUCAAAAUCACGUUAUGCGGUGCAGUUUGAUGCGGAUGGGUUAUGCGGUUUGGUUGUUGUUUGGUUGUUGUUUGUGCGGUUUGAUGAGUUGUUCAACAUUAAAUCUAUCAAAAAACCAAAAAACUGAUCAGGUUAAAAAAAAUUGAUUGCUUUUAUUUUAUAAAAACAAAUACAAUUUUCGAGUUAAAUCGUUUUUAAUAAAUUGUGAUUCAUGCUA